rnacentral:rRNA from 1 species
CGGGACGGGUGAGUAACGCGUGGAUAACCUGCCGUAUGCAGGGGGAUACCAACUGGAAACAGUUGCUAAUACCGCAUAAGCGCACAGUACCGCAUGGUAUAGUGUGAAAAGAUUUAUCGGCAUACGAUGGAUCCGCGUCCGAUUAGCCAGUUGGCGGGGUAGAAGCCCACCAAAGCGACGAUCGGUAGCCGGCCUGAGAGGGCGGACGGCCACAUUGGGACUGAGACACGGCCCAAACUCCUACGGGAGGCAGCAG